CAAAGGAAUUGACGGGACCGCACAAGCGGUGGAUGAUGUGGAUUAAUUCGAUGCAACGCGAAAACCUUACCUACCCUUGACAUGUCUGGAACCUUGGUGAGAGCCGAGGGUGCCUUCGGGAGCCAGAACACAGGUGCUGCAUGGCUGUCGUCAGCUCGUGUCGUGAGAUGUUGGGUUAAGUCCCGCAACGAGCGCAACCCUUGUCACUAGUUGCCAUCAUUUAGUUGGGCACUCUAGUGAGACUGCCGGUGACAAACCGGAGGAAGGUGGGGAUGACGUCAAGUCCUCAUGGCCCUUAUGGGUAGGGCUUCACACGUCAUACAAUGGUCGGUACAGAGGGUUGCCAACCCGCGAGGGGGAGCUAAUCCCACAAAGCCGAUCGUAGUCCGGAUCGCAGUCUGCAACUCGACUGCGUGAAGUCGGAAUCGCUAGUAAUCGUGGAUCAGCAUGUCACGGUGAAUACGUUCCCGGGUCUU
rnacentral:rRNA from 1 species